ensembl:lncRNA
GAAAGGAAUGGUUCAAGGAGGCAACAGGGGGCGGCGGGGGGCUUGGGCCCUCAUCGCCCUGGCAAUGCCUCAGGCCCAGCCCUCAUCCCCAGUUCCGUCAGCGCUCUCUCAUGCCUUCAGAGAAACCAGGGCUGGGAUGGGCCACACAGCAAACCACCCCUCCCCCACUUCCCAUGCAGCUACUUGGCCCCCAGACCUUGUCCUCCCAUCAUUCUCCUCAUACUCCUUUUCGGUGACCCCCUCAUGUAGAAAGGGUUUGGCUGCAAUGCGAAGGAUCGCUCUGCAGGAUCUUUGGGGCCCCAUCUCCAGGCGAUUCCUGUGUGGCAGGUGUCUGAGGGGGCUCAGGAGCCUGGAGGUUUGGGAUCAUGAAGAGCCUCGGAUAAUGGGGUUCAGUCCUGCCACCAUGUUCACGGCUGGAAGGAAGUCCUGUAAUUGAAAAGUGAGCCUUACCUCUGAUCUCCUAGGAAGACCUGGGGACUGGAUUUCUUUGUGGGACAGUCCCCCCCUCCCCCGUGGUUUCACAAUUCCUAUGUCAUCCUCAGUGAGCACUUUUGGCCUCUCUUUUGGGAGGACCAGGGCGGCGAGAGCUCUCAGCCUCUGCUGUCCCAGCCUGGGAAUGCCUGGGUGGGUGAGGACUCUCCUCUGCCAUUGAACUCAACCUCGGCUGUCAUCUGCCUGGCUGUCAGCACUGACCUGGGCAUCCUGCCUCUUGGUCCAGCCAGGUCCCUCACAGAGAGGGUCCACACAGAUACCAGUCAUGCACCCUCCUGGGGGCAGAGCCUUUGGAAGUCACCAUUGUAAGUUCCACCCUGUUCUCCAAAAUUUUGUAGAAGGGUUUGUCCUAAGUUUCUACAGUGGCUCCCUUGCCCCUUCCAGCCCCAGCUUCUCAAUUGCUGAAGUCUUGGCAAAUAUUUGGGAACCAUACACACACACACCAAAGAAACGGCUUUCAAUGGCAGUCCUGGGACCUCCCCUGGGUCUAGAACCCCUGGCUGAGGGACCUGUGGUACUGGGCCAAAGUCCUGGGCUUAAGCCAAGAGGACUGGAUUGACUACCACUUCCUGCCUUGGGCAAGUUCUUUCAUUUUCCCCCUGAGCCUCUGUUUCUCCAUAUGUAAAAUGGGGCGAAUGCCAACUUAGUUUAUGUGAGGCCCCCAAGCAGCAGAGGCCAGGAAAUGUCCUCCCUUCCCUCCUCUCCCACCAUGGGGAUCCUAGGUGCUGUUUAGGUGGGCUCCAAGGGAGAGCUGUUCCUGAUCUGUCACCAUCCUUCCUGGCUGAUUCUCUGGCUUCCUGUCAAUAAAAAUAGCAACUGCUUGUGGGGAGUCUGGGAUUGGCCAGGCCCCAGGCCAUGUGCUUAUUUUAUCCUGGCAUUCACUCAUUAUAGGAGCAAUCAAAGCUUGGGAAUAUGUGGUUUGCCUUGAACUUCUCUAUGGGUCAGAGGCCCUGUGCUAAGUCACAAAUCUCAAGGGCCAGGGCAUGUGCCAAUGGGCAUUAAUGGUCCUUUCGACUCCCAGCUCCAAAGUGAGCUCAUUGGCCCCUGGACCCGAAGGUUCUCUGGAGCAAGCCCAGUUUCGGGGUACCUCCUUCCCCAGCCAAUCCCAAAGCUGGAGACCAAGAGUAAUGGUUUAUUGAGUCAUGUGGCAAUGGUGGGUGAUCUUUAAAAAAAGAAAGAAGCGUCAAGGAAGAGAAGACCAAUAAGGCAGGGAGACAAUUCACUGAGAGGAAGAGGAAAGCUUGACUCAAGCAGAGCCUCAUUUACAGUAUUUACAGUCAGGCCUGGGGGUUGGGGGCGGGGAGGAGCUGUGGGGCCGGAGAGGGAACCUCCACGGCAGGUUUGGGGGCGUCAUCCUAAGGUGUCUUGGGUAGCUGCGGGCUUCGCCUUCGGCAGCAGGUUUGACAGGGCCGCUGGGAGCAGAGGCAGGUCUCCAGGUGCUGUUCCUGGCCCGCCCUGGCCUGGGCCGCACCCCACCCCCAGG